AAGGGAGAGUGAGGGGGCGGGGCCGGGAACUCGCCAGUAGGCAAGGGACGCUACCUGUUGAUUGGUGUCUGCAGAACAGACCCGUUUUUCUACGGUGAUCAGUUGAAGAAUAUCGUCAUUUGUUGAAUUGAACCAGUGCCCUUGACUUCUUAGAAGAGGUGAAGGGAAUUGAUCACAGUAAAAUGUACAGUAAUCCAUUUCAAACUCUGGCUUUCGUGGAUUUAGACCAGGCUCCCCCAGAGGUAAAAAUGCCCUUUCUUCUGAGGACACGGUGGAGUUCUUGUUUGUGGCUCCUUGUGCGGAAUUGAACCAAGGUGAUCGCAGCGACCAAAGGCUGCCGGAUUUACAACGUCUACCUACAGUUAACAG